rnacentral:tRNA from 1 species
UCCCUAGUGGCUCAGUGGUAAAGAAUCUGCCUGCAAUGCAGAAGCUGCAGGAGACACAGGUUCAAUCCCUGAGUCGGGAA